CCACUUCACUCGCCUGCACACGCUGAGAGUUAGGCAGCUGCAUCGACGCACCCUCGUGCACGACAUCGCUGUCGCAUCUCUGGAGUCGGUACGCAUCCCUCUUUACCUCUCUUCCCCUCUCUUCUCCUCUCAUACCCUCCGUUCUCUCUGCCGGUCUGACGACAUCUUACCGAGUACUCGCACACUUGCUCCCCAUUUUUAUCAGCAGUCGUGCUCAUUGGGCAACCUCGUAGGGUAGAGGGCUGUCUUGCAUUCGACUCGUGCACGCGCGUACUUUGUCUCUUUUUUUUCGUGUGUGUGUGUGUGUUUUACCUAAACAUUAAGAAGCGACAUACAAACUCUCAGCGAUGGCGCUUGUCAGCCAGAGCUUCGCGGAGCGCUACGCGGAGCUUGUCGCGCACGUGCCGACUUAUACGGAGUUGCUGCUUGAUUUGCAACGGCGCGAGGUAGGCGACCGCAAGGCGCUGGAGGAGAAGUGCCAGAUGGCAUUCCAGGAUGUGCUUCACGUUGCGGCGGUGAUGAUCUCCGACAAAAAGGCACUUGGGAGGGGUGCACUGGCUCACCGAAACCUCUUCGAGGUGGCACUCUACAAGAAGCAGACGGCCGUCUGGUUCCAGGCGGCACCACCGCGGAAGGUUGACCUGCCCAUCACACGCCCAGUUCACGGUUUUCCACACGCUGCCUUCGCGGAGCUGUGCCGAGAGGAGCGGGAGCUGCGCCAGUGGCACUACGGCGUCGAGCGCCGCCUCCGCGAGCACAUCGAGGAAGCGUGCGGCCGUGCGUGGCUCUUCCUCAACGUCAUAAACGAUGCAGCCAGGAGUGAGAGCUUGUCUCGGCAGCGACUGCAAUACGAGGAGGACGAGGACUUUACUGCCAUCAAGCAGCGCUUCUUCCGCGCGGUGCCGGCCGACUAUUACCGCAACGUCGUGAUCGCGCGCUAUGGGCAGACGACCUACGCGAUCGAGCAGGCAGAGGAUUUGCCUUUUGAGGAGGAGGAAGAAAAGGUGCGUGCGGCGCUGAUGGAGGAGGAGGAGGCUUCGUGGAGGUCUGCGUAUCAGUAUCUGCAGGACAUGUAUGAUGUCCAGCUCUUUGCGCUGAACCACCGCGAGGUCCUGGGACGCUACGAGCUGGAAGAGGAGGAGCGGAACAUGCUCUUCCCGCUUAUCUUGCAGUGCUGCCGCGAAGACUUUGGCAUUGUGUUUUACCAUGUCCCUGCACUGGCUCUUCAUUUCAACUCCUCGCAGCCGUGCUUGCGUGCGCUCUGCGUUGCCCAGAUGCAGGAGGCGCCGAGGCGGACGGCGGCGACCAGGUCGCGCUUCUCCUGGAUACCUGCCUUUGAUGUCGCCGGCAUGAUCAGCGAACUCGGCUUCGAGGAAGAUCGGGGCGAGAUUGCGGGCAGCGCGGAAGGAGAGACGGAGGAGGCGGAAGGCCGUACGAACGGCGGCGACGACUCGCACAAUGCACUGCCACCGCCAGUGGACGACAUGCCGCCCGUUAACACAGCCUCAACGAUGGUGUUCGAGCCGGAGCUUGGCAGCACAGAGGUGCCUGAGCCGGAGACGAAGCGCGAGGAAUCGGAAGUGGACACAUCGCCGUCGGCGGUGGACGCGUUGGACCAGCGCACUCACGAAGAGUCGGUGCCGUCCACAGAGAUGGAGGUAGCACCGUAGCCGAAUGAAGUCAGUUUGCGCGUGCUCUACGCCUAUGAGAUGGAGGAGCACUUACCCGUCAGCUGCGCGGGCGAAGAGAACAAGUGAGAGCCGAAAGAUGUUGCCGCCGUUGCCCCUUUCCAGUGCACCCCCAAGUUCAAGCCGACGCCGUCGUCGUAGCCGCGUGUUGUCUACGCCCAUACAGAAGUGUUUAUCGGUGAUCCUUUCGCCUAGUCUCCUCAGCAUGGAAAAACAGUUGUAGAACCCCCCCCCCAAAAAAAAAAGGUGGGAGUAAGCGGGGGCCUGUUCGGAGGAGGGAGAGAAGGAAUGAGGAGCGGUGGCGACCUGACCGAGACACAGUAAGGGGUGCUCUGUAAGGGUGUUUCUCUCGUGUGUCCUUGCUCUCUUCGUAUUAUUAUUUUUCCCACAUGUCCCAUGAAGUGACCGAUUGGAAUGCGCGUGUGACGCGGCCGCAACGUCCACCCCCUCUGCCCCUCUCCUCCUUUCCCCCUUCUCUUGAGGUCUAUUCUCGCCAGCGCUCUUUCUUUCGGUUUUCUGUUUGCUGUUGGCUUUGCCGCAUUGCUGCCCCGACCAACCCACUGCCCCCCUCCCCCACUCCCCACCUCCGCUGUCUGCGUGUCGGUGCGGCAUGUAUGUAUACUGUACUGGUUGCGUCUCUCCAUUCACCCAUCCCCUAUGUGCGAGGUGGGGGGGGGAUAGUGUGUCCGGACUCCUCCUUUUAUUUUACCGGAUGUUUUCACUCUUCAUGUAAAUUGUGUGACCCCUUUCUGGGACAGGUUCGGCUCUCGUGUGCCUGUUUGCUUGCUCUUUUCCAUAUUACUCUCUCACGGUUUCACGUCAUUCUCUGUCUGUCUUUGUCUCGGGGAGACCGAGGAGGCCGGGUGGUUUCUUGUUUGCUUGCCCAUGUACGCUUCUUCUUACAUCGCCCCCUCUUACCUCCACCCUCUCCCCCUUCACCUCUCCAGCCGUGGCGAUAGAGGGCGUCUCCUCUCUUUCUCCGCGAUUCCCUUCACCUCCGCGAUUGCUCGUUGGAAAACACAAGAAGCAACCACGGGAGCCAAAAC
rnacentral:misc_RNA from 1 species